GCCAUUUUCGAGUGAUGCCUGAUCUCAUCAAUCUAGCGGGAGAGACAGGAUAACCUGUCCGAGAGUAUAGCGCCACUAUGACUCCGCCGGAAAAAUUACUUUAAAAAUCGCCAAAAAUUACUUGGAGCAAAGGGCAGUCGGCGGAGCUUCGCCAAGGCUGGCGCAGUCGGUAAGAGCCUGAAGAAGUAGCAGAGCGGGACUCGGGAGGUGGCAGUGGUGGGACCCGCAGGCAGUGGUGGGUGCAGGGAGUGGGCGCGGGGUCUACUCUCACUUAAUCGCGAAAAAUCCGAGGAAGUAGGGUUAGGGGCAACUUGGGCGUCUGCGAGUGGGCGGCGGCGGGCGGAAUGUGGCGGGAGCGCGGAGAGACGGGGCUGUGGGGGGAGGGGAGCUGCAGUUUGAGCGGGACGCGGACCGGCUGCGGCGGAGCAGCCGCCGCCCAGCGGAUCUGUCAGCAAGACCCCCCGCCCGGGACCGGAGCCGGGGACGGCGCACUGCGGGGUCUCUGCAGGCGGCCGCUCCUUGACAGGAGGACUGGACGCGCGCCCCUCCCCCAUUUCCGAACCGGGCCGCCUUUUCUCGCCGUUUUCUCGACCCGGUGAUGGCCGUCAUCUCGUGACAAGAAACUUAAGGUCGACAGAAAAUUCAGGACCCGGAGUCAUGGGUCCCUCCGGUGGGUCGUGGCAACAGUCCCCCCCGCCACCGCCCGGCACCCAUCUAUCUAUAUUGUCUUUUGACGCUGAAGCGUGAGGUGCCCCAGGAAAGAGUUUCCCAAGCCCUGGCUGCCCUCCCCCGGCGCGCUGGGUCCCGGUGAGGUCUCUAGGUAGGUAGGACUGGCCGCGGCUCGCGCUUCCAAGAUGGGGCAGGGGCAGGCUUUUGAGGUUGUAGCGGGCUCUUAGGAAAGAUGCUGGACUUUAGCUUCUUUCUGGGGAUUUUUGUCAUUUGCUCUCGCAGCGUUGUCCUUUCUCAAAGGGGAGGAGUGUUCACGGGUGAGAUGAAAGAUGGGGCUUCGAGCUAACGAUUUCCUUCUCGUGGCUAUUUCCUCCGAGUCGCACUUUCUUAGAAGACUUUUUUCUUCUCCGGUGUUUGAAACAUGUCGCAAGGAAAAAAGCAAUCUGUGAAACUAUUAAUGUUUUCCUCCCCCAAAAGUCUUUACCCGGACAACUUAACGGUAAUUUUGCGAUCCCCACCUUUUCUUGACGCUGAGGAGGAGGGACGAGAGUUGUUAUUUGUCUUUCCCUUCGGUGAUUUUUUUUUUCCCCCUUAGCUGGUGGUUUCUAUCAAUUCUUACUCCACAGCUCUUGAGUGAUGUGAGCCAGUGACGGCAUUAACUUUAGGUAAUACUUCUAUGGCCUUUGUAAAAAUCCCGCGUUAAGGAUGUAUUAGAUCUUGAGUUCUUUUCCGCGCUGGAGGCACCACUAGAUUAACCCUUUGCCGGUGUAUUGCGUGUGGGGCGCACGGCUCUGGGUUGCAAAUAUUCCGGAGAUGCUUUCUGCAGCAGCUAUUCUGUUCAGUUGUUCGCAAAGAGGAAUAACGCUUCCUGGGAACCGCGGUGACACGCUUCUUUAGGACUGCCUGCCUACAGAGUUUUUCCCCGUGGAAUUGAUGUAACGAUUGAUUUAUUUCUUAUAUUCUAUGAAGACUGGGGGACCCGCCCUCGCUUAGAAUGUUUCCCGGAGGAGAAUAGAAGAGUGCAAUGUGAUGUUUUUCAAAUUGUGUCUAACGGAGCUCCCUAAACUCUGGACUUGUUACCCCCUGAUUGGCUGGAAGGAAGCGGGCCUGGGGGGUUUGAAUGUUGAACGCUAAACUAUAAUUCUCGACUUUACGAAAAAAUAUACUUUUAGCCAGAGAACCACGGAAAUAGCUACGAAACGUU
rnacentral:lncRNA from 1 species